AUGUAUAGAUAUAGAUAUAGAUAUAGAUAUAUAGAGAGAGUAGCACUAUUCUGAUUCUGGGAUCAGAAUAGUUAUUCUGAUCACGGUCGGCGCUAUUAGAACGCGACACAUAUAGUUACACGAUUCGCAAAAAACUGAAAAAAGCCCACGAACAGAGCCCCCAGUCAACCUUAUCCCGCACCACCAUCACUCGAUUCGCCUCCCAGCCGGCUCCACCAACCCCCGACUCGCCGUCGCCCCCGACCGGCGCCGCCACCCCCGACCGGCGCCUCCACCGUCCGUCGCCGCGGAUCGCACCGUCGCCACCAUCUCUCGCUGUGGAUCACGCCUCCGCCGCCAUCCUUCGCCUGAAUCGCGCCGCCGCCACCAUCCCUCGAUGGAGAGCUCCCCCGCCCGACUGCCCCCGCCCAUGGGUCCCGCCGCCGGUCUCCUCCUACAACCCUGCCGCCACCGUCCCCUGGACCCGGCAGCCGCUCCGCCACCUGCCUCAAAUCCGGCCAUGGUGCUGCCCCCACUGCUGGAUCCGGCCACCGCAACGUCACAGUGCAUCGCCCAGUGGUGCAGCACCCAACUCACGGAGAUCCCCAUCGCCGCCGACACUCCGGCGAACUUCCUUGCCACCUCGCGGUGGACCUCUCCCCGCUGCUCCGGUGACCUUCGCCAGCGUACUUCAACCCCGCGGGCAGAGUCCCCACUCCUCCCACACCGCAAUAGAGCAUGGCUUGACCCACGAUCCGUUCGUCCUUGGCGUCCCGCCAUGUUCGCUGCCGAGAUGCCAUCUCCCUGUCCACAUCUGAGGAUCCUUAAUUUGUCCUGGGGUAGUUCCCCACGGUCCGUUCGUCCUUGGCGUCCCGCCAUGUUCGCUGCCGAGAUGCCAUCUCCCUGUCCACAUCGAGAAAAUCGGCUAUUUGCCACUUUCAAUAUUGGGCUUCGCAAAACUGCCACUCUCAACAUUGGCUUCGCAAAAAUGCCAUCCAGCCCGUGUGCAUUUUGAUUAUCAUGCCAUUUCCUCUUUUCCAUUGCUUUUUUUUUCUUUUCCCAUUUUCUGGCACCUAAAAGGACCAAAAUACCCCUAGGCUGUUUCAACCUUAUCUGAUGCGUGUGUGGUUGGGUCGGAUUGCUCUGACCUCUGAGGUGCUCGUCCUUGUCUCCGCCAUAGCCCGCCGCCGUAGCUUACUUAUGCCAGUGCGAGCCACAGCAGCUCACCGCCCUGGCUCCCCCACGCCUGCGCCAACAACCGCAGCUCGCCGCAGCCCGCCGUUGGUACCCCAAGCCUGCGCGCGCCGGCGGAGCUCGCCAUCGCCUCGCUUAUGCCUGCUCGAGCUCUCGUAGCUCGUCGACGGUGCUCGUCCAAGUCUGCACGAGCGGGCAUAGCUCGUCCUCGCCUCUCUGAUGCCUGCGCGAGCCGCCGCAGCUCGCCGCCCAGGCCCUGCGCGAGCAACCGUAGCUCGCCCUCGCCUGCGUGCUGGCGGAGCUCGCCGCACGGCAUGCUAGAGAGGUGCGCCAGCGACUUCGUGUCCCUGAACACCAGCACCAUGGCAACAUCAACUGGAGGCCCUUUUGAUGGUCCGUGAGGAGGAGACGAACGCGUGUGCAAGUGCUGAAAAUGUAGAAUGCAAGCAACCUGGAGUAGAUCAGGGAUGAUGAAUGUGCUUCCCACAGAUUCCAUACGUCACAUGAGGAGCUUUGUUGAACUGGAGUCAAACGAACAAACCAAGGGAAAGGUAAAACGUAAUACCGUCCAGAAAGAUUGGGUUCCAUGUCGCCACUGCGGUACUGGGUGAUGGGCAGCACACGAAGCCGAGGAGAUCGGCGGCGCGCGACGCCAAGGAGAUUGGCGGCACGCGGCGUUGAGGCAAUCAGCGGCGUCGCGACCCAGGAGAUGGGGGCAGCGUCCAGCGAUUGACCCAAGAAGUCCUGGCGACCAGGGAUGCGGCAAGCACGGUAUUCACGGCGGGCAGCACGCACUCGUCCGCUUCAAGUGCUGAUCUGAUGCCAAAGUACGUGAAGAUAGCUACAGGGGUACUUCGGUCCUUUCAGGUGCCAGAAAAUAGAAAAUAAAAAUAAAAGCAAUGAAAAAAGAAAAAAUGGCAUGGUAAUCAAAGUGCAUACGAACUGGGUGGCAUUUUUGCGAAGCCAAUGUUGAGAGUGACAGUUUUGCGAAGCCCGAUAUUGAAAGUGGCAAAUAGCCGAUUUUCUCGUCCACAUCUGAGGAUCCUUCAUUUGUCCUGGGGUAGUUCCUGACCGUCCGUUGUGGGCGACUGCGGCUACGUCCUCCGUUGAUGAGUCGCAUUGCCGUACUUCCUCAAGAUCCAUGUCGUCUUAGCCUAUAGGGAAGCGGCAGGAAUUCACUACUACUUUUACAUUUAAGAAUUCAAUCCGUGAUUGGCAUCCACACAGUGUGCCUCUUGUUCCCUGGAGGAUCCAACGGCAGUCAGAUUUGCUUCGUAAAAAAUUGCAUUUGGAUGUAAUUGCAUUUGGAUGAAUUCCUACAAAAGAAUGUUUUGCAGGUCAGAUACAAAAUAAAUUGAAGUU